GAUCCCAUUGACGCCAAUGGAACCUACUCGCUAGUAGAUGGUUUUCUCGAAGAUGAAUCUUGUUUUGUCCAGAAUCGCUCUUACAGCGGUUAUAAAUACAAAAUCCCAUUGCAUAUAGGAUUAACAACUGAUCGCAGUUUGAAAAGGAUGUGUACCUUGGGUGGGUUCCAAAUUUUUUACUACCGGUUCUGUGGGUGUGGCUUAUUUUGUGGGUGUGGCUUCUUGCUCAUGUGGCUGGGUGGGCGUGCUAUUUAUUUAUUUAUUUAAGGCAACGCCAUCCAACCAGGUUUUAGCUUAGCAUCGGAUGGAAACCAUUCGUUAGCUUUUUGGGCAACAUGCGAUCUGGCUAGGAGGAAAAGCAGGAAGUAAAAAUAGAGGAUACGACCAUAUUUUGUAAAGGGGGGUAUUAGCAAAAAUAUGGUGACAGCAACUAUGGAAUAAAACAGGAGGCAGUGAUAUCUCCAAUGUCAAUUUUCUCAUGAAAUCUACUCCCUAUAUUAGCGAAGAAAUUGUGUAGUAAAGCUUGAUAAAAUAGCUAACGACGAUUUGGAUAUCAACUUGCUCCCCCCGUUUGAAGAAUAGAGUGUGCCGGAUAGUGGUGUCAAGCGCAGCUGGAAAGGCGGGGGAAUUUCAGAUCCGUUGCGCUAUGAAGUCGGAUAAAACAUGGAGUUUUGCGGAGUUAUUGAGCCUAAUCCUAAUGAAAGCGAUUGUGGGGUCUGUCCAUAUAAACGUGGAUCUCUCACGCCCUACAGGCGAGUUGAGGCAUUUUUGGAAGAGCACGGGAUAUUGUCCUCCUCUACCACACAGCCGAGCAGAUUUGUUUAAUCUCAGUAAAGACCAAAUAAUUAAUUUGGCUUAUAUUUCAUCUGUGCCACAAAAUGGUAUUGAACAAAUUCGAAUCCAUUGGCUGCUGGAACUUAUUCAAGCUGAAAUGAUAAAUGGGACACUUCACUACAAUUUCACAAACCUGGAUAACUUUAUGCAUCUUCUUUGGGAAAACAAGCUACGUCCUGGUUUUGAAUUGAUGGGAAGUCCUUCAGGAUACUUCACUGACUUUGAUGAUAAAAAGCAAGUGGUAGAAUGGAAAAACCUGAUUUUACAAUUGGCCAAAAGAUAUAUAGAGAGGUACGGAGUGAAACAUGUUUCUAAGUGGAAUUUUGAGACCUGGAAUGAACCAGAUCACCAUGACUUUGACAAUGUAUCAAUAACUGUGAAUGGAUUUCUCAACUACUAUGAUGCUUGUUCUGAAGGAUUAAGGGAAGCUAGUUGUCAGCUAAAAUUGGGAGGCCCAGGAGAUUCCUUUCAUCCAUUUCCAAAGUCUCCCAUUUGCUGGAACCUCCUUGGUCAUUGCUACAAUGGCACAAAUUUUUUCACUGGAGAGACAGGGGUCCGGCUAGACUACAUCGCCAUGCAUAAAAAGGGAGCUGGGAGUUCUCUUCAUAUCUUGGAACAGGAAACUGAGGCCAUGGGACAGAUCCAGAAGAUGUUUCCCAAUUUUGCCUCGGUCCCUAUAUACAACGAUGAGGCUGACCCUCUAGUAGGAUGGUCGAUUCCACAGCAGUGGAGAGCGGAUGUGACCUAUGCAGCUAUGGUGGUAAAGGUAAUUGCUCAGCAUCAAAAUCUUCUGAUCGCUAAACCCAACAACACCAUCAACUACACUUUGCUAAGCAAUGACAAUGCGUUUCUGAGUUACCAUCCCUAUUACUUCACCCAGAGGACCCUUACGGCACGCUUUCAGAUGAAUAACACAAAGCCCCCCCACAUCCAGAUGGUGAGGAAGCCGGUGCUGACAGUAAUGGGCUUGCUGGCUUUGCUAGGAGAAGAGCAAGUUUCUGCCAACAUUUCCAGUCACAAAUCAGAAGACUACAACACUUUGGGACUAUUAGCCAGCUUGCAUAAACCUUCAGGACUACAAUUGUCGGACAGCUGGCAAGCAUCAAUACUGAUCUAUUCAAGCAAUGAUAACAAGACAUCCUCAAACACCAGUACUGUGAUUCUAAAGAUAGCCAAUUAUCCUAGACACAAAGACCUCGUAUACGUCACUUACUACAUGGAUAACAGCCUAACCAAUCCAUAUUUGCAAUGGAAGAAAACGGGAAUGCCGGAUUUUCCUUCUCAGAUGCAAUUGGAGCAAAUAAGAGAUGCUGAGGAUCCUGUGGUGAAAGGACCAUUUCCAGUACCUGCAAAAGACCAUUUAGUGCUGAAGCAAGAACUUCCAAUUCCAGCUGUUUUCCUCCUCCAUAUUUGUGCAAAGCCCCUCUCUGCUCCCAACCAGGUGAAUGGUGUUCGUUUCAUUGGUCUCAUGAAAGGACAAGUUCUGAUAACGUGGGAUGACAGCUGUGUGAAUUCAAAAUGUUUGAAAAAAUUUGAAGUGAUGUUUUCAGUCGAUGGGAAUGAGUAUCACCAAAUCAGUGUCAAGGACAGUAUAUUUACGAUGUUAAUCUACAGCCCAGGAACAACACUCGUGGGCUAUUACAAAAUCCGUGCUGUGGAUUACUGGGACAGGCCAGGCCCAUUUUCUGUGCCUAUGUUCUAUAGAGAACCAUCUUAAAAAGAAGCAAAAAUGUUCAUCAGAAGUUAUAUAGGUUGGCAUCUCAGAAGUUAUAUAUGGAUGGUUAAAACUGCAAGUUGCAGCAUCAGGAAGGAAGUAGAAGGAAGCCUCCUUCCAAAGAGUGGAAGGCAGCAGAACCAAGAACAGCUCAGCUUGAAUACUUGUAUAAGAAGAAACAUCCCUGUGAAGCUUGUUUUAAACAAGGAUAAAUUUAGCACAGGGAUUGUAUUUUCAAUAAAUAUUUAUUUACCUGAAAAAGAGUUUACUUAGAGAUGGGCGAGGUAACAUAUUCCAAUUUUCCUGUCAGAAUAUUUAAGGAUGCCUUCCUAGAAAAUGCAUGCCAUUCCAAUAAGUAAGGUAUGUUCAAAAAAGUCAAGAUGGUGACUACAAUAGUGCGAUUGAAGUACGUACAUUGUAUGUACAUUGCACGUACAUUGCAGAGCUUUGACUGCACUGUAAUCAUCAUUAUCUUGAUCUUUUUGACCAUGACCUGGCAUAGUAAUGGCUGCAGUCUUGGGUUUUUGACCACACCUAUGAAUGUCCUUGAAUUAUACUCGGCACUGUCAGCUUUAUAGUUUAGGGAUCUUCAACUAGGGCUAAAACUACGAGUAAGCACUGUGUUGAGACAAACAAGGUGAGAAGUUUGAAUUGGGCAAUCUCAAUUCAAAUAUCAUCCCAAGUACAAGCCUACUAGGUUUUCCUAAGUGACCCACUGCCAAAUGGGUUUGUAAAGAUUCCCAAUUCUUAAAAAAAAAAAUGAGAAAAAAUUACUAAUUUUCUCAUGGUGGGGAACAAAAGAGAACAAAAAUAAAGGCAUCAGAGUCCAAUAGAUUUUUUAAAAAAAUUAGAUUUGAAAAUGUUAAGAGAAAAAAAAUGAUGGUGCUAAAAAAAUUUUUUUACACCUGCUCAAGCAUGCAAGGUUUGAAAGUUCAGAAAUAACCUUUGCCUUCAUUGGCAAAAAGGUCUUUCAUUUUGAUUGUAGGAAUUCAAAUGUUCA